rnacentral:rRNA from 1 species
CCGCGGGAUUCGAAUCGCAUGGCCUUGAGCCGGCGACAUAUCCAUCGAAGGUGUGCCCUAUCAUCUGUCGACUGUGGCAUAGACGCCCACAGUGGAUUUGACGGGUAACGGGGAAUCAGGGUUCGAUUCCGGAGAGGGAGCCUUAAAAACGGCUACCACAUCCAAGGAAGGCAGCAGGCACGCAAAUUACCCAAUGACCGAAGGUCGAGGUAGUGACGAAAAAUAACGAUACGGGACUCAUCCGAGGCCCCGUAAUCGGAAUGAGUACACUUUAAAACCUUUCCAACGAGGAUCUAUUGGAGGGCAAGUCUGGUGCCAGCAGCCGCGGUAAUUCCAGCUCCAAUAGCGUAUAUUAAAGUUGUUGCGGUUAAAAAGCUCGUAGUUGGAUCUCGGCGGCUAGAGGGCGGUAUGCUUCGUAGCAUUACUGCUCUAUUAGCCGUAGUUUUGCUAGAGGUUUCUGGGUGCUCUUAAUCGAGUGUCUAGGGAUGCUAGCGGGUUUACUUUGAAAAAAUUAGAGUGCUCAAAGCAGGCUAUUACGCUUGAAUAUUCGUGCAUGGAAUAAUAGGAUAGGAAGUUGUUUCUAUUUUGUUGGCUUUCGGAAAUCGACUUAAUGAUUAAUAGGGACAGUCGGGGGCAUUUGUAUUCAAACGACAGAGGUGAAAUUCUUGGACCGUUUGAAGACAAGCUACUGCGAAAGCAUUUGCCAAGAAUGUUUUCAUUAAUCAAGAACGAAAGUUAGAGGUUCGAAGGCGAUUAGAUACCGCCCUAGUUCUAACCAUAAACGAUGCCAGCUAGCGAUCUGAGGACGUUUUUUUUUGUAGACUCCCUCAGGAAGC